GAUGAACGCUGGCGGCGUGCCUAAUACAUGCAAGUCGAGCGAACAGACGAGGAGCUUGCUCCUCUGACGUUAGCGGCGGACGGGUGAGUAACACGUGGAUAACCUACCUAUAAGACUGGGAUAACUUCGGGAAACCGGAGCUAAUACCGGAUAAUAUAUUGAACCGCAUGGUUCAAUAGUGAAAGACGGUUUUGCUGUCACUUAUAGAUGGAUCCGCGCCGCAUUAGCUAGUUGGUAAGGUAACGGCUUACCAAGGCGACGAUGCGUAGCCGACCUGAGAGGGUGAUCGGCCACACUGGAACGGAGACACGGUCCAGACUCCUACGGGAGGCAGCAGUAGGGAAUGUUCCGCAAUGGGCGAAAGCCUGACAGAGCAACGCCGCGUGAGUGAUGAAGGUCUUCGGAUCGUAAAGCUCUGUUAUUGGGGAAGAACAGAUGUGUAAGUAACUAUGCACGUCUUGACGGUACCUAAUCAAGAAGCCACGGCUAACUACGUG
rnacentral:rRNA from 1 species